rnacentral:rRNA from 1 species
AUUGAACGCUGGCGGAAUGCUUCACACAUGCAAGUCGAGCGGCAGCGCGGGGCAACCUGGCGGCGAGCGGCGAACGGGUGAGUAAUACAUCGGAACGUACCCAGUUGUGGGGGAUAGCCCGGCGAAAGCCGGAUUAAUACCGCAUACGACCUGAGGGUGAAAGGGGGGGAUCGCAAGACCUCUCGCAGUUGGAGCGGCCGAUGGCGGAUUAGCUAGUUGGUAGGGUAAGGGCCUACCAAGGCGACGAUCCGUAGCGGGUCUGAGAGGACGACCCGCCACACUGGAACUGAGACACGGUCCAGACUCCUACGGGAGGCAGCAGUGGGGAAUUUUGGACAAUGGGGGCAACCCUGAUCCAGCCAUUCCGCGUGAGUGAAGAAGGCCUUCGGGUUGUAAAGCUCUUUCGGCAGGAACGAAACGGUCCUUUCUAAUAAAGAGGGCUAAUGACGGUACCUGAAGAAGAAGCACCGGCUAACUACGUGCCAGCCGCCGCGGUAACAC